CGCCGCUGUACGUUGUGCUCAAGCCCUGUUUUUCUUCUAUUCCCCUUUCCAAGUCUUCCUCUCAUCUUAUCCAUUGGAGGCCGCAGCCGUCAGGUCGCUGCUGCUGCUGGUGGCGUGAUUGCCAUCGCUGUGAGAUUGCUGCUGUUCUUGGCGCCGCUUCUCGUCGUGGUCGCUGCCGUGUGGAGGCUGCUCCCGCUCCCCUGCUCCUUGCGUCGUCGUGGCCGCCGCUGCUGCCGGUGGAGCACGGGCUGCUGCUGGCCAUCGGCCCACCCCCGGUAAAUCCUGAGAACGACAUGCAUGGGAGUCUUCGGAGUACCAUCCUCCUCGCCGCACGGGCCUCCUCCUUGCCGGAGUGACGCCCCUCGCCGGAGCAGCGCCGGCCAAGCCCAUUGGCCACCAGGUGUUGUUCCUACUCCUCUACCUACUACAGCAGCACAAUGUUCUUCUAUAUUGCAAUAGAGUAGGAGUAUUUGCUAGAGUAGCUAGGACGUACAGCUAUUGUUAAUUGCCGCCAUGUGUAUUGUUUUGUUAGAGCAGAUGGCUCCCAUGAUCCCAUCAAUUUUGCAUCGCUGGAUGCUUUAUGUACACAUGCACGGAUCUGUCAUAACUUUACACUAAUUUAAGAUUGUGUUGAUCUGAA